rnacentral:rRNA from 1 species
UCCUUAGAUGUUCUGGGCGGCCCGCGCACUACAAUGGCGUGUGCAGCGAGUGCCGAAGUAGAGUUUUCCGAGGUAUUCUUGCAAUGCUCGUUUUGAUGGGGAUAGACCCUUGCAACUGUUGGUUUUGAACGAGGAAUUCCUUGUAAGCAUGGUUUAUCAUCCGACGCUGAAUGCGUCCCUGCCCUUUGUACACACCGCCCGUCGCUCCUACCGAUGAGUCGUCCGGUGAAGUUCGUAGACCUCGUGAUUGCGGAUCACUGGGGGAAGCAAAAUGAACCUCGCGGUUUAGAGGAAGGAGAAGUCGUAACA